rnacentral:lncRNA from 1 species
CCAUUUGAAUUUCAUUUGAGAGAGUAAAAUAUUUGAAUUUCAAUUCUCUCUGAAUUUGAUCAUAGUAGCGGCUGAAGGAUUCUCUCAAUUCUCACAAUUUGAAUUUCAAUUGAGAGAAAAUAGAGACCAAUCGUACGAAGGAGCUUCGAUGUGUUCUGUAAUUGAUUCGAGACCAAUAGUUCAACAAAUCAGAGGUUCGGUUUUAAUUGCGUGAUCUUUGAUUUCUUUUGAUUAUUCUAUACUUAUAUCUUUUUUAUCCAUGUGUGUUCUGCGAACCUUAUUUUUUGGUGUAUAUUGAUUCUUAAUUUUGAUUUCAAGAGAAGUAAUUCAUUUGAAUAUUCGUUCGGUUUCUCUUGCGUUCUAGGGUUCUUUAAAUUCUUUUACCUCUAUUUUAUUUAUUGUUUAUAGUGAUUAUUAGGUCUUCUAUUUCUUUUGAUUAUUCUAUACUUAUAUCUUUUUUAUCCAUGUGUGUUCUGCGAACCUUAUUUUUUGGUGUAUAUUGAUGCUUAAAUUUUGAUAUCAAGAGACUGUAAUUCAAUUCAAUGUUUUAUUCCAUGUGGAGUUAGUUUUAUUAUUUUCUGGUUGUAUAUUCUUUUACAUAUUUUUUAUUUAAUUUUUUUAAUGAUGUCAUAUUGGGUCUUUGAUUUCUUUUAAUUAUUCUACAAUUACAUUUUUUGUGUCCAUUUAGUAAUCCUCUUGAAUAUUUUCUUCUCUGUGGAGUUUGUUUUUUGAAUAUCUGGUUGUAUCUUGGUCUAGAUUUGCUGGUUUGUUACACCCUUAUUUUAUUCAAUCCAGGUUGUGUUCUUUGGGUUUUUCCUUUUCUGUGGAGUCUGCUUUGAUACUUAUAUACUGAAAAUUUUCAUAUCUCGGUUUUUAUUUGUGGUUCCUUCUUUGGGUUGUUUCUAUUCUAUAAAUUAUGUGUUACUUAAAUUCUUGUUUUGCUGAAUUGAUAGUUUUUGAUAUCCAAAAUAAAGCAAGUUAUUUGAAAUUUUUUCCUCAUCACAAGGUUUAUUCUCUCUCAGUCUAUAUAUAUACUCCAUAUAUACAUGUUUGUGUCUCUGUCUGUGUGUUUGAUUUUUUUACCCUGCUGAAUAGGAAAAAAUUGAUUCCUGUAGUCAAUAUCUUAAUUGAUGUGGUGUAAUGGUGAUGGAAUGUUCAUUUUUAUUCCUGUUUAUGAUGGCAUCUCUGAAGCAGGACACAUCAGGUAGUUCUAACUAAAAAGUUGCCUUAUUGUGAUAAAGUCUAAAGAGCGGUUCGUUAUAAGGGAUAUUUUAUUCAAUCCAUGUUGUGUUCUUUGAGUUUUUCCUUUUUUGUGGAGCCUGUUUUAAGUUUUAAUACUUGUCUACUGUAAAUUUUCAUAUCUUAGUUUUAAUUUGUGGGUUCCUUGUAUGGGUUGUUUCUAUUCUUUACUUGAGGUGUUCUUUAAAUUCUUGGUUUUGCUGUAUUCAUACUUAAUUUUUGAUAUCCAAAAUAAAGUGAGUUAUUUGAAAUUUUUUUCCGUUCACAAGGUUGAUUCUUUGUGUGUCUGUGUGUGUUUCUGAAGUAAAAUAUUGAAUUCCUGUGAUUAAUUUUCUAAUUGGCGUGGCGUAACAGUGAUGGAAUGUUCAUUUUUAUUCCUGUUUACAUUGGCAUAUUUGAAGCAUGAUAUAUUGUGGUUUAAAUCUAACUAGUACGUAAGCUUAUAUCAUUACUAUAACAAAAACAAAGAAAACCAAAGUUGAAGUCACUACGUUGAGUCGUUAUGGAAUUGUUCUUGAAUAAAAGUAUUAAAGUUUGCUAGUUGCAACUCUCUCAACCAUGGCCAGUAAAAAGGCUGCACAAGCCUUCUUUGUUUGUCAUGAAGUUGUUUUUUUUUCACCUUAUUGUGAUCAUGUAGAAAGAGAGGGCAUUAAAAACUAAAUAUUUGCUUUCCUUGGCCCAAUUGGAUUUUUAACAAAGCAAAAUUGCAGAACAUUAAUAUAUUUUAACACCAUUUUUUUUCAGGGGGUGCAUAUUGAAGAUGCGGGAUGUAUAUUGAUUUUAGCAAGAAAUUGCAGAACUACAAACUUGUUGAGAUCAAGAAAAUUUAUUACAGGUGAUUUAUUAGGCGUUUCUCUCUGCUUUCUCCUUCCCUUUUGUACUUUUCAAUAGUUAUUUAACAUUUGUAAAAAAUAGUUCAGUGCACUCUAAGUUGACAAGCUUUUGCAAAUUCUAUAACUAUUAUCUUUCGGUACAUAUAUGUGAUAAUUAUAAUUUCCUGUGAAACAACUAAUGGUUCAACUCGUAAUUACCCUCGGUACAUACUUAGGCAAUCAAAGGUUUAACAUAGUAUGAAGUUGCGUGUCCGAACUCCUAAUACUAGAGCUUAUAUGUGAGGUCUUAGUAUUGAUUAUUGAAUAUAAUAAUUCUCUUCUUUUAUUGACUUUUUAAUAUUAUUUCAUGCAUAUUACUCUUUUAAUUUUGAUGGAUCACUAUUUCUCUAGUAGAUCUUGAAGACUACAAGUCUACAAUUUGAUAUUAAAAAGUUGAUAGACAAGUAUUGUUUUUAACUGUCUGAUGCAGACGAUAGUAUUGUACUAUUUGGAGAAAAACUAAAAUGAAUGUGAACUAGUAUGCUGAUCAAUGAUAAGAUUGUGGGUUGCUGAACUUAAUAUGUUGUUCAAGUGUUCGAUAUUUCUCUGCUUUAUUUGUUGAUUGAUAUAGAUUUCAUAUACCCUAUGUGUGACCCAUUGCCGUCUGACUUACCAUCUCUCUCUCUCCCUUUGCCUCCACAAUGCACGUGUCUGUGUGCACGCACAUGUUUUUAUUUAUCAAUUAUGUGUGUUUCAAAUGAUAUUCCGUAUUGUUCGGGAGUUUUGGCAAAUAUCCAUCCCUUGGUACCAAGUUCUUGAAGCCAAAUAAUCAUUUUGUGAUCAUUGAUUUUGUGUGGAGUUGAUGAAUAAACCAUUCGUUUCUCAAUAAUGCUUUGGUGACGAAAUAUUGGAUAUAAAAUGAUGUGUAUGAUGGUAAUUGAUUAUAACCAUGGGACCCAUUUAUUUAUGGUGGAACAUCAACUAAUUAUAAUUAGACACAUUAUUUUUGUAUCCAAUUUUUUGUAGCUAUCUGUUGUCAUCACCAUAAAACUAGAAACAACUAGCAGCCAGGAUGUAGAAGUAACAUGUGUAUAUCAUCUUCAUAGAUUACACAGUUUACUGAAAUAGCUCUCUGAGUAUAUAGUAUAAACAUGUUCACUAUUUAUUUUGUAUAGUAAGCCAUUUCAUUUUGUGAGUUAAUUGACUUGUCAGCGUGAAUGGCCUUUAAGAGGAGUUUUAUUUAAGCUAUAUUUGGUUGGAAAUUUGAAAGUUUGGAGGUUAAUUUGACGAAUUAAGCAAAUUAACUGUCUCCCUCUCUCUGUGACUCUCUCUCUCUCCCCUCCCUUUCUUUCUCAUACACAAAGAGACAGAGAGACACGUUGUAUAACUUUUAGUCAAUCCAUCGACAAACUUUAUUAACUUUGUUCGUCUCUCAUAAACUUUAUAUGUAUUCUUUAAAAAUGUUGUCAGUUUAGUAGUGUGGUAUAAAAGAAUGAAACUGAAAUAAUCAACUUUUUUGUGAGAUAAAAAGAAUUAAGGGUAAAUUUCACAUGACCACCGUUCACCAAUUUUUUCACAUGACCAGCUGUAGUCUAGAAAGCUACACUUACACUUGAGGUUUUGAGGUGCAGUUAAAAAGUGAUGUCUGUGUUAACUCCGUGAUGUUAAAUGGCUAAAGACAGGUUUGUCCUUCGUAUAUAAAGUAUAGAAUUCAGGCUUUGAGGCUAAUUUGUGUCGUUUGAGCUUAGGGUUUGCAGAGAGCGAGAUAGAGCGAGAAAUAUGUAGCGAUUUAGGGUUUUUCUUGAAAUCUUCUUCGAUUUUGAGUGGAAUGGAUGGUGAUUUAAGGGGCUUUUAUAGUUAUUGACUCGAUUAAUUGUGAUUUUUAAGCAGCUGCAGAUUGAGGUAAUCUUUUGUCUAGUUGUUAGCCACUUUUUGUUGUUUUUUUUCUUUACUUUAUGUACUAUAAUAUGAUGAUAUGAUUGUGAUUGGAGUUUUGGUGGAGUUUAUUUAUGCAUGCAGUGUCUUGAACCACUUUUUGUAGUAGAAUAUUUACUUUAUUUUUGGUAUUUGUGUAUCAUAGCUUUAUUAUAUGCUAUAACAUGGUUGUGUUUGGCUUUUUGUAAAGUGUCUACUAUAUGUAUGCAGUGUUUUUUCCCCCACUUUUGUAGUAGUAUAAUUGUCUAAUUUAUUUGUGGAUUUUGUAAUAUGAUGGCUUUAUUAUGUACUAUAAUAUGGUGGUUGUGUUUGGUCCCUACAUGGUCCCUACAUGUACUAUAAAUUAUAAGAGUAAUUUAAUGUCCCAUUUCUUUAAGCAUGUUCCCACUUGUUUGGUCUACUCUGUAAUAAUAUAUGUUCUUUUGGCAUGGUCAAUUUUUUAUGUCCCACUUGUUUCGGCAUAUGCCCCCACAUGCAUAAUAUGUUGUUACUAUAUCAAUGUCUCUCUGUCCCCCACUUGUUUUGGUCCCCUAUAAUUUGAUUUUGUUUAUCAAGAAAUAUGUCUUAUUCAAACCUUUCUCCCUCAUCUUUUUAAUGCAAAAUGUUUGUGAGAAUAAUUUUUAAUUACGGUGGGACUUUUGUUCAAGAACCAGUAAUUGAAUAUGUAGGGUGUAGUGUUGAAGAGCAAACCAGUUUCAAAGAAGUUAGCAUCCAAGGGCAGAUUGGUUUCACCAAAGAAGGCAGGGAGGGGAGGGGGGGGUGUAAGGCUUUGACUUUGCCUUGGGUUAUUUCAGUUUAUGUUUUUUGAUACUUUGGUAUUAUUUAGAUGUUCACUAGUGCUUGUCUACUUUUGGCACAGUUUCUUGUUUUUGGUAUAGUUGGUAUGUUUGGCCAGUUUAGUAUUUUGGUACAGUUUGAUAUGGCCAAACAUUUGAUAUAUUCAGUCUUGGGAUUAUUAUUGGUACAGUUUGGUAUAGUUGGUAUUGUUGGCAGUAGGUGUAUUUUUUGGCCAGUUGUUAAAUUUUGUUNNNNNNNNNNNNNNNNNNNNNNNNNNNNNNNNNNNNNNNNNNNNNNNNNNNNNNNNNNNNNNNNNNNNNNNNNNNNNNNNNNNNNNNNNNNNNNNNNNNNUCAUUUAAGAUGCCAGUUAAUGGUAUCUUCUUUUGUCUCUCUAAUUGGAUGUUAUUUAUUUGCCUUAGUCAAUUCUUUUUCAUUUUCAGUUGUGCACAAGUUGAAACUCGAAGACUAUAUAAUAUAACAUUAGGAUUCCAUUUAAUUGAAUUGAGAACAUUACAGAUUCCAUUACACAUUACAAACUUUCAUUUCUUACUACUAAAAAACAUCUUGAAUGACAUGAGAUAUAACACAAGUCCAACAAUCAUUAUUAUCUUCACAUAGCUUUCAACAAUCAUCAUCCUAACAGGUAGAUUAUUAUGCUCAGGACACUUGCAUGUUGUUCCCCUCACCACUGUCCCCAUUCCCUCACUGUGUUCAUUAAUGCCAGUCAUUGUCCCACUUGAGGUUGUUGUAAAAGGCAAGCACCACGUCCAAAAGUCACAGUCAUCACAUAUAAAAUACAACUUUUCCCUACGAUGGUUUGUUCGAGUCGACAAUUCGUAUCAGAUGCCUUCUUUUCACAUCUACAUACCGUAGGUAUGUAGCGAAAGACAUGACUCCUAAUUCACAUAAACAGGAGAAAGAAGGGAUGAGGCAUUUUAGCAAAAAUACCUUGAGGGCAACUUUUAAAUUGAAUAACAACAAUAAAUUUAUGAAAAUAAAGUAAAGCUAGAGAAGAAAUUAGUUGAUCUUCAUACAUUACUUGUGAAUAUGAUGAAUUAACAUCCUUGAUCAAAGCUAGAGAGAAGUUACAAAUGUUCUAAAUGGUAGAAAAGAGCUCUAAGGGUGAAAAAUGUAAGGAAGUGGGACUUUUAUAGCCAAUGUAUAUGAUGGGGGCAUAUUGGACAAUUUCUCACCUCAUUUGACUGUUAGAACUAUGCAUCACACUCUUUAGGCGAGUUACCAGCACGCACAGUUAGUUUAGAAGGAAAAUGUAACUUUUUCACUUCACCUCAAAAUCUCAGGUGUUUAAGUGUAGCUUUCUGGACUAUAGGUGGUCAUGUGGGAAAUUGGUGAAACCUCGGGUGGUCACGUGAAAUUUACCCAAGAAUUAACACUUAAAACUCUCUUUUUUGGUACAAAAGGAGUAAUAUAAUUGGUUAUAUGUCCACAGCUUCUCCUAUUUUGGUUGAUGGUGUUAUUGGCGGCUCCACUAGUGGGUAUUGGUCAGAAAGCAAUACUCCCACCCAAUUUUACAUAUACACAUACACGUAGUACAUGAAUAGAUGAUUCAAAAUUGCAAAAGUUGUAUACUUUUGUCAGUUAUUAUUCACUUGGUGAGUGAAUUCAAGUGAAAAGUUUAUUACAGGGAGCCAAACAUCCUAUUUUUAAGUAUACUUUUAAUUUUAAUUCCUCUUCUUUUAUUUUUGUCUUUUCCUUUAUUUUUGGCAACUUUCUCUAGUAAGUGAAGUAUCUAUUAUGUCGUUUCAGCUUUUACUUUUCAUAUUUAAGCAUCAUUUUGUUUAAAAAUAAAAAUUAUUAUUAUCUAAUAUUCUAUUUUGCCGGUUAGUGCCAUUAUCUAUCAAGUUUCAAAUUUCCUAGAAACUAUUAGUUCAUUAAACUAGUGAUCAGCGUACUUGAUCCCAAUUGUUGAAUUAGUGAUUGAGGCUUUGAUAAGUUGAAAUGUUUAUAAAAUUAGUGUUAGUUACAUUCCAGAUCCAUUAGGCUUGUAGUCAUAUUACCUUGUUAUAACAUUGCAUCCUUUUGGUUUUCCACAGUUUCACUUGCAUUAAUUUUUCCUUAUAGGUAGACUCAAUGCUGUCCCAUGUCAUUAUUCUGUUAGUUUUCACAGACCCAGGUCUAUACAUUUUCACAGAAAAUCUGAUGUAAUAAAGGUUUAUGUCACGAGUUGUUUGAGACAUUGGCACUGGAAAGUUCUACUUUCUAGUUCUAGUCCUGUUUACUGCUAAUUUGAAGAAUGUAGAUAUUUUCUGGAUUUCAAACUUCAUACAAGUAGUUUUGAACUUGUGAUUUUUUGAUGCAUUCCACCCUUGAGGAUAUCAUGAAAGUGGAAGCAACUUUGAAAGAGGGUGGGGGGCAUAGUGCUGAAGUGUACUGAAAUUUCUAAUCCAUUCUGAUCCUAGUAGUGUCUUACUUCUGCAUGGUACGUGUUAUAUGGGUAGCCAUUGUUUCUUUGUCUUAAAGUUGCAAUCUUUAUUUUUUCCUCGUAGAUACUACAUUGACCUAAUCUACUGGUAGAUAUGUAAGCUUCAUUCUACACAUUAGAUAUAAAUUUCAGCAUUAAAUUUUUUUGAUAAGUAAUAAAUUUCAUCAUUAUUUUCAUCGUAUUUGUUAUCAUCAUCUUUCGUUGUUCUUUGAGCUUUUAUUAUGAACACUUAAUAUAAAUUUCAUGAUUAAUUUUUUUUGCUAAGUUAUAAAUUUCAUCAUUAUUAUCAUUGUCUCUAUCAUCAUGUUUCUUUCUUCUUCUUGUCGUGCUUUUUCCCCCCUUGCAAAUUUUAGUCCAUGGAUUUGAACCGUUGGCACUGGAAAGUUCUACUUUCUAGUUCAGUCUUGUUUGAGGGCUAGUUUGAAGAAUAUCUAGAUUUUGCUUUAUUAAUAUCUGGUUGUAUCUUGGUUUUCAUUUGCUGGUUUGUUAUAAGGGUUAUUUUAUUCAAUGUGUUGUGUUCUUUAUGUUUUUCCUUUUCUGUGUAGUUUGUUUUUAAUACUUAUCUACAUAAUUUUCAUAUCUUGGUUUUAUGUGUGGUUCCUUGUAUGGGUUGUUUCUAUUUCUAUACAUGAUGUGUUCUUUAAAUUCUUGUUUUUGCUGUAUUGACGCUUAUUUUCUGAUAUCCAAAUAGCUUAGGUUAUUUGAAUUUUUUUUGUUACCUGUGUAUUUAUUUUUCCAAAAUAUAAUAUUGAUUUCUUGUAGUUAAUUUUCUAAUUGGUGUGUUGCAACGGUAAUUUAAUAUUUGUUUUUGUUCCUAUUUAUGUUAACAUUUUUUGAAGCAGGGCAUAACAGUGGUUUAGACAACUAAAAAGUUCAAAUAAAUUAAUUGAAGUCAAUUUGUAUUAUUACUAUCAGAACAACAAAGAAAUUAAAAGUUGAAGGCACUAUGUUGAGUGGGACUCUAGGGAACUUUGGAAAGUAGAAUUGUUUGUUUCAGUGAUGCUUGAAUAAAAAUAUUAAAGCUUGCUAGAUUACAAUAUCCAUGGCCAGUAAAAAGAUUGCACUGACGGGGGCUUUCUCCUUCGUUUAUGUCAUGAAUAUGUCUUUUUUCCCCUUGUUAUGGCAAUGUAGAAAGAGAGGGUAUUAAAAAGUAUAUAUUUGCUUUCCUUGGUCCAAUUUAUUGGAAUUCCAAUAAAGUAGAACUGCAAAACACUAAGAUAUUUUGAUGCACCAUUUUUUUCAGUCAUUCAACAAUCUCUACUCAUUUAGGGUGUGCAUAUUGAAUAGGUUAUAUAUUGAUUUUAGCAAGAAAUAUCAGAACAACAAACUUGUUGAGGCCAAUUUUUUUUAUUACAUGUGAGUUCUUAUGCGCUUCAUUCUACUCUGUCUUCUUUCCUCUUGUACUUCACCAACAGUUACUUUACAUUUUUAAAACAAUAUCAGUGUACUCUAAGUUGAGAAGCUUUUUCAAAUUCUACAACUAUUGCUUUCUGUACCUAUGUAAGAAUUAUAAUUUCAUGUGAAAUAUUAGCUUUUUGUACAUAUGUGAGAUAAUUAUAAUUUCAUGUGAAAUAAAUAAUGGUUCAAUUCUUAAUUUCCCUUGGUGCAUACUUAAAGAGAUUUCAGCCAAGAAUGAGCUUGCAUUUCCCAGGUCCUAAUACUAGAGCUUACAUGUGAGGUACUAUUAGAAUAAUAGUUCUGUUCUUUUAUUGAUUUUUUAAUAUUGUUAUGCAUAGUAUUCAUUUUUAAUUUUGUUGAAUUAUUAUUUUUCCUAGUAAACCUUAUAGACUAAAGUCUACUUGUAAAAAGUCGAUCAAAAAGCUAUGUUACACGGACUUGAAUGGAGUGUUCGGUUGGAUACAAUAUUUUUUGUAGAAUUCGACAUUGGUAUUCCUCAUUUUUUCUAACUUUUAACACUAAAAUAUAAAGUGUCCAGUACCCAUAUCCUUGUCCGUGUGUCGGAAUAUUGGGCACGGGUACUUUAGGGAAAUAUUUUAGGGCAAAGUAGAGACUCCAUGUAACAUAGUCGAAAAGUAUUGCCUUUACUGUCCUAUGCAAACCAUAGUAGUAUUUGGAGAAAUAUUAAAAAUGGAUGUGAGCAAUAUAUGAUGAUCAAUGAUGAGAUUUUUUAGGUUAUUGAAGUUACUAUGAUUUUUAAAUAUUCGAUAUUUCUUUGUAGAUGCUUUAUUUGUUAGAUUGCAACUCUCUAACAUGGCCAGAUUGCACUGCUUUCUCCUUCGUUUAUGUCAUGAAUAUUUUUUCCCCUUAUUAUAUGGUAAUGUAGAAAGAGGGAGUAUUAAAAAGUAUAUAUUUUCUUUCCUCGACCCAAUUUAUUGGAAUUCUAAAAAAGUAGAACUGUAGAACACUAAGAUAUUUUGAUGCACCGUUUUUUUCAGUCAUUCAAACAAUCUCUGCUCAUUUAAGGUGUGCACAUUUAAGAUGCUAUAUUUUGAUUUUAGCAAGAAAUAUCAAAACAAACAAACUUGUUAAGGCCAAGAAAAUUUAUUACAAGUUAGUUCUUAUGCGCUUCUUUAUGCUCUGUCUUCUUUCACCAACAGUUGCUUAACAUUUUUAAAAGAAUAUCAGUGUACUCUUAGUUGAGAAUCUUUUACAAAUUCUACAACUAUUUACUUUCUGUACACUAUGUAAGAUAACUAUAAUUUCUUGUGAAAUAUUAGCUUUUUCUACAUAUGUGAGAUAAUUAUAAUUUUAUGUGAAACAAAUAAUGGUUCAAUUCUUAAUUUUUCUUGGUGCAUACUUAAGCAUUCUAAGAUUCUAGCCUAGAAUGAGCUUGCAUGAACCAGGCCCUAGUAUAUGUGAGGUCUUAGUGUUAAACAUAAUAGUUUUGGCCUUUUAUUGAUUUUUUAAUAUUCUUUAUGCAAAGUAUUCACUUUUAAUUUUGUUGAAUUAUUAUUUUUCCUAGUAGACCUUAUAGACUAAAGUUUAUUAGUAAAAAGUUGAUCGAAAAACUAUGUUACACGGACUUGGAUGGAGUGUAUGGUUGGACACAGUAUUUUGUAGAAUCCAACACGGGUACUUCUCAAUUUUCCUAACUUUUAGCACUAAAAUGAAAUGUCCAGUACUUCUCAAUUUUCCUAACUUUUAGCACUAAAAUGAAAUGUCCAAUACCCAUACUCUUGUCUGUGUGUCGAGUGUCGGACAUGGGUACUUUAGGGUAAUACUUUAGGGCAAAGUAGAGAGUCUAUGUAACAAAGUCGAAAGUGUUGUCUUGUCGAAAAUUAGUCUUUAUUGUCCUAUGCAAACCAAAGUAGUAUUUGGAGAAAUAUUAAAAAUAAAUGUGACCAAUAUAUGAUGAUCAAUGCUGAAAUUUUGUAGGUUAUUGAAGUUUCUAUGAUUUCAAAUAUUCAAUAUUUCUCUGUAGCUACUUUAUUUGUUGAUUGAUAUAGAUUUCUUAUAAUUCGUAUAUAUCCAAUUUGUGACGAGUUGCCUUUUGACUUUCCAUCUAUCUCCCUCUGCCUCCCACAAUGCACGUGUGUGUGCAAGCACAUGUUUGUAUAUAUCAAUUAUCUAUAUUUUAAAUGAAAUAUAUGUCCUUUAUCACCCAGUUCUUGAAGCUGAACAAUCAUUUAAUGGUGAUUGAUUUUGUAGAGUUGAUGUGUAAAUAAUUUUUGUCUUUUCAUAUUUAAACAUUAUGUUGUUUAAAACUAAAAACUAUUAUUAUUAUCUACUUUUCCAGCUUGUGCCAUAAACUUUCAAGUUUAAAAUUUCCUAGAAUGCAUAAUGGUAGAGACUAGUGUUCAGCGUUCUUGAUCCCAAUUGUUGGGUUAGUGAGGCUCUGAUAAGUUGGAAAAAAAUUUCAUUGGAUUAAUGUUAGUUACAUUCUGAAGAAAUAGGCUUGUAGUCCUAUUACCUUGUUAUAACAUUGCAUCCUUUUGGUUCUUUAUGGUUUCUCCUGCAUUAAUUUUUUCAGUAUAGGUUGGCUCAAUGCCUGCCCGUGUCAUUUUUCUCUUAGUUUUCACAGGCCUAGGUCUAUAUAUUUUCACAGAAUAUAUGUUGUGAUAACUUUGUUUAUGUCACGAGGUGUUUGUGUCAUUGGCACCGGAAAGUUCUACUUUCUAGUUUCUAGUCUUGUCUUACCGCCAAUUUAAAGAAUGUGGAUAUUUUUCGGAUUUCAAACCUCAUAUUUUUUGGAAACUUUCGAUGUGUUGUGUAAAAUGGCAUUGAGAGGUUCGGAUUCUCUUGCAUUCUAGGGUUCGAUUUCUUUUGAUUAUCUACAAUUACAUCUUUCUAUAUCCAUGUUGUGUUCUAUAAAUUCUAGUUUUUGGUGUAUAUUGAUGCUUAAAUUUUGAUAUUAAGAGAAAGUAAUCCAUUUGAUAUUUUCUUCUUUGUGGAGUUGGUUUUAUUAAUAUUUGGUCAUACCUUGGUUUUGAUUUGCGAGUUCAUUAUAAGGGCUAUUUUAUGUGGAGUCUUUUUUAAUACUUUUAUCUACCGAAAAUUUUCAUAUCUUGAUUUUUAUUUGUGGGUAAGGUAUGGGUUGUUUCUAUUCUAUACAUGAUGUGUUCUUCAAAUUCUUGUUUUGCUAUAUUAAUACUUAAUUUUUGAUAUCCAAAAGUAAAAUAAGUUAUUUGAAAUUUUUUUCCGGAUGAUAAGGUUGACUCUCUCUCUCUCUCUCUCUCUCUCUCUAUAUAUAUAUAUAUAUAUAUAUAUAUGUGUGUGUGUGUCUGUCUGUGUUUCUGAGUUUGUUUCUUUUCCCUUUUUUUAUCAUCGGAAAAUAUUGAUUUCCUAUGGUUAAUUUCUUAAUUGGUGUGGUGUAACGAUGAUGGAAUGUUCAUUUAUAUUCUAUGUUGGCAUAAGCAAAAUAUUAAGUGGUUUAGAUUUAACUAAAAAGUUCAAGUAAAUAAAUUGAAGUCAAUUUAUAUAAUUACUGUGAGAAAAACAAAGAAAAAUAAAAGUUAAGUCAAUAUGUUGAGAGAGUUUAGAGAGUUUGACGUCUUUAUAUGGGACUAUUUAUAAAUCUAACAUAUAUUUUCACGCACCAUUUUUUUCAGUCAUUCAACAAUCUUUGCUCAUGUAGGGGUGUGCACAUUGAAGAUGCUGAAACUAAUUGAUUUUAGCAAGAAAUUGCAGAACAUCAAACUUGUUGAGGCCUAGAAAAUAAUUACAGGUGAUUUCUUACGCGCUUCUUUCUGCUCUGUCUUCUCUCGAUUUAUACUUAAAGAGUUAACAUUUUUAAAACAUUGUUUAGUGUACUCUAAGUUGAGAAACUUUGCAAAUUCUACAACUAUUGGCUUUCUGUACAUAUGUGAGAUAAUUAUAAUUUCCUGUGUAAUAUUAACUUUCUAUACAUAUGUGUGAUACUUAAAAUUUUAUGCGAAACAAAUAAUAGUUCGAUUUUUAGUAUUAUUUUAUUUACACUUCAAUUUUGAUGAAUUAUUAUUUUGUUGAUGAAUUAUUAUUUUUUCUAGUAGACCUUAUAGACUAAAGUUUGAUAUUAAAAAGUUGAUCAUGAUUUCAAAUGUUCGAUAUUUAUCUGUAGUUGUUUUAUUUGUUGAUUAAUAUAGUUCAUAUAUCCAAUGUGUGACACGUUGCGUUUUGACUUGCCAUCUCUCUCCCUUUGCCUCCCACAAUGCGCGUGUGUGCAAGCACAUGUUUGUAUAUAUCAAUUUAUUAGAUUUAUAAAAUGGGCUCAAAGUUUAGUAUAUAAAGAUAUCAAGCUCUCUAACUUAAAACCAAUUGGCUCUGAGAAAAGUUGGCCCAAGUUAUUAUAUACUAGACAUAUUUUCUCUAGGUAUUCAAUGUGGGACAAAAUAUAUACUCUAACACCCCUCACGUGUAACCGGUGUAUUGAGGGUUGCACGUGCACCUGAUCAAUAUGAAGAUCCAUAUAAAAUAAGCAAGCCCAGAAGAAGCUAGUAAAGUAAACCAUAGGCAAUUGUUGGCCCAUUGAUAAAUGGUACUAGUUAAGAAAUGGGUUACUUUAACCUUUAAGAAAUGGACUGCAAAUGAGUAAGAAUGAAGGCUAAGAAGAGUGUUUAAUUAGGCCCAAGGAUAUCUCGCUCUGAUACCAUGUUACAUUUAUAAAAUGGGCCCAAAGUCUAGUUUAUAAAGAUAUCAAUCUCUCUAACUCAAAACCAAUUGGCUCUGAGAAGAGUUGGCCCAAGUAUUUAUAUACUAGACAUAUUUUCUCAAGGUAUUUAAUGUGGGACAAGAUAUAUACUCUAACACAAUUAUGUGUAUUUUAAAUGAUCUUCAAUAUUGGCUUUAGAGUUUUGGCCAAUAUCCGUCCCUAUCACAUAGUUCUUGAAGCCAAAUAAUCAUUUCGUGGUCAUUGAUUUUUUUGAAGUUGAUACGUAAACCAUUUUUGUGUCCUUUUUGUUUUUUUUACUGCAGCUGUUUUUAGUAAGUAAACUAUCUGUACGUCCUUUUAGCUUUUUACCCUUUUGUAAUUAAACAUUAUGCUGAUUAAAAAUAAAAAUUAUUGUUGCCUAAUUUUCCAGCCAGUGCCAUAAGGCCCAUAACUAUCAAGUUUCAAAUUUCCUAGAAUGCACAAUGGUUGAGACUAGUGUUCAGCGUACUUGAUCCCAGUUGGUACUUGAUGUGAGGCUCUGAUAAGUUGAAAAGUUCAUUGGAUUAGUGUUAGUUAUGUUCUGGAUCAGUAGGCUUGUGCCCUAUCUUGUUCUAACAUUGCAUCCUUAUGGUUCUUUACAGUUCCACAUGCAUUAAUGAUUUCCUUAUAGGUUGGCUCAAUACUGUCCCGAGUCAUUUUUCUAUUAGUUUUUACAGGCCUAGGUGUAUAUAUUUUCACAGAAUAUACAAUACCUUUGUUUAUGUCACAAGGUUUUGGAGUCAUCGUAUUUUUCACUUGUGAUUUUUUUUAUGUACAUUUGGAUCCUUUGAGGAAAUCACGAAAGUAGAAGGUAACUUUGAAGGGUGGGGGGUGGGGUUAUAAUGUUGAAAUGUUAUGAAAUUUCUAAUCUAGCUUUGAUCCCAGUAGUGUCUAACUUCUGCAUGAUGGUAGCCGUUGUUUCCUUGUCUUGAAAUUGCAAUCUUAACUUUUUUCUUGUAGAUACUUUAGUCCUGCACAUUUGAUAUAUAAUAUAUUAAUAAAUUUCAUCAGUGUUAUCACAUGGUCUUUAUCAUCAUCUUUCGUUGUUCUUUGAGAUUUUGUUUUGCACAUUUAAUAUAAAUUUCAUGAUUAAUUUUUUUUUUGCUAACUAUCAAGUCUCUAUCAUCAUCAUGUUUCUUUCUUUCUUUCUUCUUCUUGUGCUUUUUCCCCCUGCUACUUUUAGUCCAAUGGAUUUGAACUGCUAGUUUGAAAAUGCAGUUACAAAUUUCUUGAUUAAUUUUUUUCCUAAAAGUAAUAAAUUUCACUAUUAUUAUCAUCAUCGUUUUUUCUUCUUUUUCUUGUGCCUUUUUCCUUGCUAAUUUUAGUCCAAUGGAUUUGAACCAUUGGCAGAACUUUCCAGUUUCAGGCUCUGUUUGACCGCUGGUUUGUGAAGAAUGCAAUCAUUAUCUGGAUUUCAAACUUAAUAUACUUUGUUUUGGACUCAUGAUUUGAGUGAUUUAUUUUUGGUUCAAAGACAAUAAUGUCAUGCAUUUGAAUCUGUGCACGGUAUGUUGUGUGUGAGGAUGUAUAUAUAGGUAGAGAUACAGGGGAAGAGAAACCUAAACAGAAGUACAUACACCAGAUUUUUGCUUUGUGGCUAUAUCAUCUCAAGUCAGAUAUUUUCCAUAUGUUCAUUUUCUUUUUUGAUCUAACAUUUUGGAAACUUUUUUACCAACUUCUUUAAUUAAGUGUAUGUAAUUUCAGUUUAUAUGGUGUAGUUUGUAAGUCCGUAUAAAUCUCUAUUGUUGCAUAUAUGCCAUUCAUGUAUAUUAAAUUGAUGAAGCUUUCAUCUUUUCAGGAGCUUUUGUACACAACUAGCUUACAGGGGUAAAGAAACUACAAAGGUAUGUAACAGAAUUUGUUUAAAUGAUUAUUUCAUAUAAGAAAGCAUAUGCAUUCAUAUCAAGACAUGACAUGAACUCUUUUUGGACCUGAACACUGAAGCACUACUACACUUGUCUGCUACUCUAAGGUAAUAAUAUCUUAUCAUUCUAUAAUAGUUUAACUAUAAUCUUUGCUGAACCACAGCAAUACACUAGUUACUAUGGAAUAACCUAAAGCAACAACAUGGAGAAACAGGUGAUAUAGCACAUAAGCUUGCCACUAGAACGAAAGAGGCAACAACAUAAAGCAACAUGCUCAACAACCCAAACUCCAGUCGAUGGCAUUCCCACACACUACUACCAAACAACUAGCCAUUUAAGUAGCAAUUUCUAUUUAUGUAUCGGAAACAACAUUAAGCAACAUACGAGCUGCUAUUUCUACUUAUGGAUUGGUUCACUAAUAGAACCAAAAAUCAACAGCAUUAAGCAGCAGGUGACGGGUACAAUAGCACAAAAAUGCAGCAAUUUCUAUUUAUAGAUUGAUUUAUGGGCUGACAAAACACAUGAGAAGUGUGUAAUUCUGCACACUAUUUUGAAAUAUAAUAAUCCUUUUACUUGGUUUUGCUUGAAUGAGUUGUGAUGGUGGUGGUUAUUGAUUACCAUUACUUUAUUUGCUAUUAUAUUGUAAAGGGAUUCUGGAUGAGUAUUUUCAUGUAUCAGUAUUUGUAAUACUGUAUUUAAUGAUAUAGUUUAUUUUAUACUUUAAGGGGG